UACGUAGGGUGCAAGCGUUGUUCGGAAUUACUGGGCGUAAAGAGCGCGUAGGCGGCUCUUCAAGUCGAGUGUGAAAGCCCCAGGCUUAACUUGGGAAUUGCGCUUGAUACUGUUGAGCUAGAGUGUGGAAGGGGCUACUGGAAUUCCUGGUGUAGCGGUGAAAUGCGUAGAUAUCAGGAGGAACACCGGUGGCGAAGGCGGAUCUCUGGACCAGUUCUGACACUGAUGAGCGAAAGCCAGGGGAGCAAACAGG
rnacentral:rRNA from 1 species